UAUUGUUCUUCAAGGAUAAAA
rnacentral:piRNA from 1 species